GCAUUAGUAGCUCAGUGUCCAGAGCCCCGGCCUUGUAAGCCGGCCGUCGGAGGUUAAAUCCCUCCCUAAUGCU
rnacentral:tRNA from 2 species